rnacentral:lncRNA from 1 species
CCCUGGUGCACAUGUGAGAGGAUGAGCCAUGUGGGAGGACGGCUCAUCGGGGGUUCGGUGACUCCACUGACUAAUUUCCACGUGAUGUGAUUAUAUGAAGAUGUUAAUGAUUGUGAGUGCUGGUGAUUUGCCAUUUGUGUGACCGGCUGCGUGAGCAUAUAGCUAGUCGGAUGACUAGAUCGAUAUAUUUACACAUUUGUGUGACUGCAUGUGUUGUGUGAUAAUUAUUUCUGCUUAGAAAACUCACAAGUCUUGCUUGAUUAUUUUUCAGGAAGUAAGUUUUUCUUUAAUCCGAUUUAAGCUAUGAUUCUUCGGCACCGGGCAAUAGAGAAAUUUUCCUAGUUUCAUAAUUAUUUUAAUAUGUAGUCAUGUGUAUAAAAAGCUAUGUAUACCAAAGAGUUAGUGACUCCGCAGUUGUAGGAUUUACCUAUAUUUAGUCGUGUACUAACGUAGACAAAAUAAUUCUGUAAGCCAUAUUAGAAUGUGAUGUAUUGUAAACUAGGCCCGAACUAUAGAAUGCUGUAGAAGAUAAACUUGGGCCGAGAAAUAAUAGAAUAUUAAAAUUUAUACCGAGAUAAUAGAUUCUAGUGUUUCAGGCUUACUACGGGCCUCGGGGGCCUUAAGCUUACCUGGGCUCUAGUGCCGGUCCGGCCCAUGGAGUCGGGUCGUGACAAUUAAGCAGUUUUCCGUGCUUUAUGCGAC